UCGCCUGUUUAUCAAAAACAUCUUUUCUUGUUAGUUUUUGAAGUAUGGCCUGCCCGCUGACAUUUGGUGUUGAAGGGCCGCGGUAUUAUGACCGUGCAAAGGUAGCAUAAUCAUUAGUUCUUUAAUUGUGAUCUGGAAUGAAUGGCUUGACGAGGCACGGGCUGUCUUAGUGCUGAAUGUUUUAUUGAAUUUGGUCUUUGAGUUAAAAUUCUUAGAUGUUUUUGUGGGACGAGAAGACCCUAUAGAGCUUGACAUUUGGUUUAUUUACUUGUUUGUUGUUUGUUUAUUUUUGGUGAGUGGGCUUUUUGUUUUGUUGGGGUGAUGGGAGGAAUGUACUUAACUCCUCUUAGUUUUGGUUAUAUUGAUUUAUAAUUGUUUGAUCCAUUUAUUUUGAUUGUAAGACUAAAUUACCUUAGGGAUAACAGCGUAA
rnacentral:rRNA from 1 species